GACGAACGCUGGCGGCGUGCCUAAUACAUGCAAGUCGAACGCAGUGGGGACGGGUGAUGAACACGUGGGUAACCUCCCAUCAGAGGGGAUAACACUUGGCAACAGGUGCUAAACCGAUACUGAUGGAUGGACCCGCGGUGCAUUAGCGAGUUGGUGAGGUAACGGCUCACCAGGGCCACGAUGCAUAGCCGACCUGAGAGGGUGAUACGCCACACUGGGACUGAGACACGGCCCAGACUCCUACGGGAGGCAGCAGUGGGGAAUCUUCCGCAAUGGACGAAAGUCUGACCGAGCAACGCCGCGUGAGUGAAGAAGGUCUUCGGAUUGUAAAACUCUGUUGUUGGGGAAGCGGUACCUACCCAGAAAGCCACGGCUAACUACGUGCCAGCAGCCGCGGUAAUUC
rnacentral:rRNA from 1 species